UACGGAAGGCAGCAGUGGGGAAUAUUGCACAAUGGGCGCAAGCCUGAUGCAGCCAUGCCGCGUGUAUGAAGAAGGCCUUCGGGUUGUAAAGUACUUUCAGUCGUGAGGAAGGUGUUAAGGUUAAUAACCUUAGCAAUUGACGUUAGCGACAGAAGAAGCACCGGCUAACUCCGUGCCAGCAGCCGCGGUAAUACGGAGGGUGCGAGCGCUAAUCGGAAUUACUGGGCGUAAAGGGCACGCAGGCGGUUAAUUAAGUUGGAUGUGAAAUCCCCGGGCUUAACCUGGGAAUGGCAUUCAAGACUGGUUAGCUAGAGUCUUGUAGAGGGGGUAGAAUUCCAUGUGUAGCGGUGAAAUGCGUGGAGAUGUGGAGGAAUACCGGUGGCGAAGGCGGCCCCUGGGACAAAGACUGACGCUCAUGUGCGAAAGCGUGGGGAGCAAACAGGAUUAGGAUACC
rnacentral:rRNA from 1 species